rfam:Morus notabilis contig4651, whole genome shotgun sequence.
CGGCUGUAGCCAAAUCCAACGGCUGAGAAGUUAACUGGCCGCUUAUUGUGAGACAAUCUUUCCCGUCGAUAAAUCUGCUUACCGAACUUCUCACAUUU